UCCGCUGUGGUCUGGUGGUUAGGAUUUACGGCUCUCACAAGUAAGGCCCGUGUUCGAUUCCCGGCAACGGAA
rfam:Angiostrongylus costaricensis strain Costa Rica genome assembly, scaffold: ACOC_scaffold0002046